GAUGAACGCUGGCGGCGUGCCUAAUACAUGCAAGUCGAGCGAAGCGGGGACGGGUGAGGAACACGUGGGUAACCUCCUCUAAGACUGGGAACACUUCGGGAAACCUGAGCUCAACCCGCUACUUAUUGGUGGAUCUGCGUUGCAUUAGCUAGUUGGUAAGGUAACGGCUUACCAAGGCAAGGAUGCAUAGCCGACCUGCGAGGAUGAUCGGCCACACUGGAACUGAGACACGGUCCAGACUCCUACGGGAGGCAGCAGUGGGGAAUCUUCCACAAUGGGCGAAAGCCUGACGGAGCAACGCCGCGUGAGUGAUGAAGGUCUUCGGAUCGUAAAACUCUGUUAUUAGGGAAGCGGUACCUAAUGAGAAAGCAACGGCUAACUACGUGCCAGCAGCCGCGGUAAUUC
rnacentral:rRNA from 1 species